AAAAAGGGCUUCUGUCAUGAGUGGCACACGAAGGUCAACUUGAUUGCUCUGCGUGCGGAAUCAACAAGAGAUUUCGGAAGCAUAAUUUCUUGGUAACUGGGCAGCUGGUGAUCUUGGUCCCUGUGGGGGAGGGGAUAACCAAAACAAGGCUGGGGGGUGGUGCACACCUUUAAUCCCAGCCCUCGG
ensembl:snRNA